rnacentral:rRNA from 1 species
GACGAACGCUGGCGGUAUGCUUAACACAUGCAAGUCGAACGAGACAAGAUGGAAGUGCUUGCACAGAAAUCUUAGAAAGUGGCGAACGGGUGAGUAACGCGUGGGUAACCUGCCCUAUGGAAAGGAAUAGCCUCGGGAAACUGGGAGUAAUGCCUUAUAAUAUAUGUUUGUCGCAUGGCAGAUAUAUUAAACGCUCCGGUGCCAUAGGAUGGACCCG